UUUUUUUCAUUUAUUAAUUUUAACUCAUUUAAUAUUAAUUUGCAUGAUGUAAAAUUAACUUACGAGAUUACGUGGGUGAUUGGUUCGUCUGUAACUGUAGAUUUACUGCUGUAGAAUUUUUGUUGUAGGUGUGAUGACUGUAGUUGUAAGUUUUAUUGCUGUAAAAAUUAGACUGUAGGUUUUAUUAAUAUAAUUAUUACUUAAAGAAAUUGGGUAGAAAUAAGAUUUUGGUUGUAUGUAUUUUUAAACAA
rnacentral:sRNA from 1 species